rnacentral:rRNA from 1 species
AUUGAACGCUGGCGGCAGGCCUAACACAUGCAAGUCGAACGAGCGGCGGACGGGUGAGUAAUGUCUGGGAAACUGCCUGAUGGUGGGGGAUAACUACUGGAAACGGUAGCUAAUACCGCAUACCAUCGGAUGUGCCCAGAUGGGAUUAGCUAGCAGGUGGGGUAAAGGCUCACCUAGGCGACGUUCCCUAGCUGGUCUGAGAGGAUGCCCGGCCACACUGGAACUGAGACACGGUCCGGACUACAAGGGAGGGAAGCAGUGGGGAAUAUUGCACAAUGGGCGCAAGCCUGAUGCGGCCAUGCCGGGUGUAUGAAGAGGGCCUUAGGGUUGUAAAGUACUUUCAGCGAGGAGGCGUUACCCGCAGAAGAAGCACCGGCUAACGCCGUGCCAGCAGCCGCGGUAAUAC